rnacentral:rRNA from 1 species
AUGUUUGUCUGUGGUGUCAAUGAGACGGAAUACAAAUCUGACAUCGACAUUGUCUCCAACGCUAGCUGCACCACUAACUGCCUUGCUCCUCUUGCUAAGGUUAUCAAUGACAGUUUUGGCAUCGUUGAGGGUUUGAUGACAACAGUUCAUGCCAUGACUGCAACCCAGAAGACUGUUGAUUGUCCUUCCAGCAAGGACUGGAGAGGUGGAAGGGCUGCCAGCUUCAACAUCAUUCCGAGCAGCACUGGUGCCGCAAAGGCUAUUUUGUUUGAUUUGAUGGAGGGUUAUGAAGGGAGCCAGUUCAAGAGAUUAUGUGCAAAAUAG